rnacentral:rRNA from 1 species
AAAUGAAUAGACGGGGGCCCGCACAAGCGGUGGAUUAUGUGGUUUAAUUCGAUGAUACGCGAGGAACCUUACCAAGACUUAAAUGGGAGUGGACAGGCUUAGAAAUAGGCCCUCCUUCGGGCCGCUUCCAAGGUGCUGCAUGGUUGUCGUCAGCUCGUGCCGUGAGGUGUUAGGUUAAGUCCUGCAACGAGCGCAACCCCUGUCGCCAGUUGCUACCAUUCAGUUGAGGACUCUGGCGAGACUGCCUACGCAAGUAGAGAGGAAGGUGGGGAUGACGUCAAAUCAUCACGGCCCUUACGUCUUGGGCCACACACGUAAUACAAUGGCCGGUACAGAGGGCAGCUACACAGCGAUGUGAUGCAAAUCUCGAAAGCCGGUCUCAGUUCGGAUUGGAGUCUGCAACUCGACUCUAUGAAGCUGGAAUCGCUAGUAAUCGCGCAUCAGCCAUGGCGCGGUGAAUACGUUCCCGGGCCUUGUACACACCGCCCGU